UUUGUAUAAGUUGAGGAUGGUAUUGCCAAAUUGUUGGCUUUGAGGAUUUUCUGCGUAAGCAACAUAAUAUGUUGAUUGACAUAAUCAUGUAUCUAAUCUGUUUAAUGAAGAGUAGAUUAAUCCCUGUAUCCAAAGCCGGUUCGAUAAUAUACUUCCAGAGUCAUUGCAUUCAAUAAAAAAAAUUCUCAGGGAGUUUCAUAUAGGGUGAGGAUAAGUAAUUAUGAUUCUAUAAGUUUUGAAAUAUUAUUUUCAUUAGUUAACUACAUCCAAAUCAUUGGUUUUAGGUUAAUCAAAUUGAAGAAGUGGAUAAUGCAUCUUGAAAGGUACUUCUCUUUUACUUAAAUAAUAAAGUCAAGUAAUGACUCUUUACAUGAACGGUUGUACGAAUAUAUACAUUAAUGUAUACCGGCACCUUAAACUGAAGUUAUAUACACACAUAUAACAUACAGUCAUUAGUAGUAGUGCUUGAGAAUUUAUUUACAAAAUAUUUUACUUCAUUUUACAUUUUGGUAGAAACUAGAGAAUGUACAUAUUUCACCAACUUGCUCUAUCACGAAUAAGGUUCGUAUUUAAUUACUUCUUGUACUUCAUUCCUUAGAUAAUUUCAAAUAUUACACAAUGGAACAAUUUUAAUAGUUUGAUUAGUUUAUUGAUUGUCAGUGACUAUUUCGACUCAAAUCUUAUUUGCAAGUUAGUAGAUUGGAGUGGAACAAAUGAAAUAGUUGAUGAAGGAUGUGUGAUAUCAACUGAUCCAAAAGAAGUUGUCGGUCAAAUUCCACUUGGACCUAAUGCAAUGUAAGUUUUGGUUGAUAUUCAAAUUAAACCCAUAUACUUUUUGUGGAGGCCUACUGUGUAUGACUCGUAUUCAACACACUCAGGGUAUGACAAUAGCUUGGCCUGCCGAGAGGUUUAUUCGGAAAUGGAGAAAUUAGAAAGUCGCUAUGCAACGGAAGCUUGGUUUGGAGAGCUUGAAUGUGGAUUUAAUGAUGGUUCAUGUUUCUUUCUUUUUUUCUUUUUUUUUCGGUUUUAUUUCAAACUGCUGCGAUUUAGAAUGAUGUUUUGGUAGUAUUGACUUGAAUAUUACCGAAUCAUAUUAACGUAAUAUGAUAUUCAUAUUUUAUUUGGGUUGUUAAUAAUAUCCUAAAGGUUAUUCUUUUA